rnacentral:rRNA from 1 species
UGAACCUGCGGAAUGAUCAUUG